AUUAAACGCUGGCGGCGUGCCUUACACAUGCAAGUCGAACGGCAGCACGGGGGCAACCCUGGUGGCGAGUGGCGAACGGGUGAGUAAAGCAUCGGAACGUGCCCUGGAGUGGGGGAUAACGUAGCGAAAGUUACGCUAAUACCGCAUAUUCUGUGAGCAGGAAAGCAGGGGAUCGCAAGACCUUGCGCUCUGGGAGCGGCCGAUGUCGGAUUAGCUAGUUGGUGGGGUAAAGGCCUACCAGGCGACGAUCCGUAGCGGGUCUGAGAGGAUGAUCCGCCACACUGGGACUGAGACACGGCCCAGACUCCUACGGGAGGCAGCAGUGGGGAAUUUUGGACAAUGGGCGCAAGCCUGAUCCAGCCAUGCCGCGUGAAUGAAGAAGACCUCGGUUG
rnacentral:rRNA from 1 species